rnacentral:lncRNA from 1 species
AUGUGCAGAAGUUCGGGGUUCCGUGCAUGUAGGUUGCAUGGCAGAAGAGAUAAGGACCAGCAGAUAAAGUCCAAAAYGUCAGUGCAGAUGGGGUUUCAACCUGUCCUCCAUUUGAGGGGGACUUAUCGAGAACUGGGAGGAGUAGAGAAGGCAGCUGGCUUUCCAGAUAACGUACUUAACCUUAUAGGACCUUUCAAAAAUUAUAGCAAGUAUACCGAGGAGAAAUCCUGGAAUCUCCCCUACCCUUUCCCUGGGAAUGGGGAAAGGGAUCUGCAGAAAAAAAACACUCCUACCAAGAAUGCUUUGGUGUAUGAACACCUCUCUUGGGUCACUGGAUCAAAUGCUAAUGUCACUGUAUUAUCUACUUGA